AUUGAACGCUGGCGGCAGGCCUAACACAUGCAAGUCGAGCGGAGCGGCGGACGGGUGAGUAAUGCCUAGGCAUCUGCCUGGUAGUGGGGGAUAACGUCCGGAAACGGGCGCUAAUACCGCAUACUAUCAGAUGAGCCUAGGUCGGAUUAGCUAGUUGGUGGGGUAAUGGCCUACCAAGGCGACGAUCCGUAACUGGUCUGAGAGGAUGAUCAGUCACACUGGAACUGGGACACGGUCCAGAGGCCUACGGGAGGCAGCAGGGGGGAAUAUGGGAAAAGGGGCGAAAGCCGGAUCCAGCCAUGCCGGGGGUGUGAAGAAGGUCUGCGGAUUGUAAAGCACUUUAAGUUGGGAGACGUUACCAACAGAAUAAGCACCGGCUAACUACGUGCCAGCAGCCGCGGUAAUAC
rnacentral:rRNA from 1 species